GUUUUUACGCUGUGUAAUUGUGCUAAUUUGGGAGUCAUAAUUUUGAUUUUUUGAUUUCAUUUGUAUUGACAGGCGUACACAUUUAAGUUGCAUUUCAUUUAAUUUGUCUUUCCUGUCGCUGUGUCAUUGGGCAUGUGGUAAUAACGUUGGGGAAUUUUUAAAAAAACGAAAAGAAAAAUUGUGUUCUGGGAUCCAAGCGGAGUAAUGUAACGGUGGGUAUUGUGCAAGAGAAUGUAAUGGGGGAGAAAAAUACUGCUCCGAUUGCAGAGAAAAAUCAAGCUGUUUUUCUUCCAGGAGCAGGGAAGGAAUAAAGACUGGAAACUGAAAACGAUCGAUUAUUUGAUUAAUUUGGGCCCGGCAUAUUGGCCAUUGAAUUGGGUUUCCAGUUAUGUAAUUUGGUUUCAACGUGGGUUGGAGGAUUGAGUUAUCUAUUGCUUUUUGGCUGGGGGGUGAAACCCUAGGCGUUAGGGUUUGAUCGUGGUUCAGGAGGGGUGGGGGGGGAGGGCAGGUUGGGGAAGAAAUUGUGGGGGUUUGUGUGUUUUGAUGGUGUGGAUCGGGGGUUUUGAUGGGGGAUCUCUCAGCUCCCAUGAUUAGGGUUUGCUGUUUUUGUCACUGUUGUUGAGAUGCUGUGUAGUUUCGACAAUUGUGGCGGGGGCUUUGGUAAUGUCGUAGCGAAGCAACGGGGUGUUGUUGGUAGUGGGCGGAUGGAGGACAACGAGCUUGAGGAAGGAGAAGCCUCCUGUGCCUUCUAUAAUGACUUUGACCCUGAUGUUGCCCUCUCCUACAUUGAUGAUAAAAUACAUGAUGUUUUGGGUCACUUUCAGAAGGAAUUUGAGGGAGGUGUUUCAGCUGAAAAUCUUGGGGCAAAAUAUGGAGGCUAUGGCUCAUUUUUGCCAACCCAUCAGCGGUCUCCAUCAGUUUUGCUUCAACCCAGAACUCCUGCCAUUGUGCAGAACUAUAGUAUGCAAAAUCUUCCCAAUGAAGGGACAGUGGAGCGCAUGCGCUCUGCAGCUGCUAUCUCAGGGGGUGGUGCCAAUCCCUCAAAGGCAGGCUCCUUAGCAAACCAUGCAUUAUCUGCCCCAGCAGCUUUUACUGCUGAUAUGGUAAACAAGGGUGAUAUGCCAAAUAAUGCUAUGAAGGGAAGUAAGGAAAUGUCUCCUCUGAAAAGGUGUUCUGUAGCUAAGAAUACAUCUGGCAAUGAACAAAAUAAGAUCCCACUAUUACGGUUUAAGGUGCCUACUGACUCUGUUCAGCGCAGUAAGAGCUCUGCAAUCUACAGUGGGUUAGGUCUCGAUAAUUCUCCAUCAUCAUCAUUUGAGGAUAGUCCUGAGGACAGACAGGAAAGCUCACCUGGUGAUGAAUAUUCUCCUGUUCAGUCACCUACUUCUAUAAUCCAAAUAAUGACCUCUUAUCGGAUUCCUGGAGGUUCCUUGCUUAGUCCUCUUCGUGAAGAUCUCCAAAAAUUGCCAGAGAGAUAUGACAAAGCUUCGGCAAGAGAUGCUAAAAAUAGGACAAUUAAGGCAGAGCUGCAGGAAGCACAUGCAACAAACAGAAAUGAGUUUGACUCAGCAAUGGAUUUCCAAGGCCCAAAGGAAAGGAAAGGGAGGUCGGAUGAGAAACAUGGUAAAUAUACAGAAGUAAAGAAGGAGAAUGAUACUGAAAUUGGGAAAAAUGCUACAAAUAAUCCAAAAAAGGAUUUGGAUUUCGAGAACAAAACGGGAAAAGAUUUUGGUUCUAGUAAUUUGAAAUUUCCAAUAAAGUCCUUUUCAAAGGAAUAUCAUCAUGAACGCACAGAAAGGGAAGUGAUGGGAGAUUCAGGAAAAGAAAAGAUAAAAGGAUCUAUUCUGCCAAAAGAAGGAUUAAAGGUAGGGCCAAAAGACAAGGUAUUCCGGUCUGAUUUACCAAAAAAUGAAUUGAAGGAAGUAGAUGGGAAUAUGGAUUUUAGCAGGGCCACGAAGUCAGAUGUUAGGCCGAUGCCACCAUCAGGUAAGCUAGAAUGCAAAGAAAAGGAAAUUUGUCAAGUGAAAGAAGUUAGGAAAGGCAGUGCCUGCAGAGAUUGUGCAACUGACAUUAAGAAAUUGGCUAAAGAGACUGGUAUGGAUAGCAAAAGUAAUGAUUUUUCAAAAGACCUUACUGGUUACAAAGAAUGGAAUGAGCAGAAAGAUGCAACAAAUGAAAUGUCAAAAGACAAGGUUGUUGGGAAGGAUUUUACCGAUGAAAUUGCUAGUUUACACAAGGAAAAUGAAAAAGAACAUGUCACAACCAAUAAGAAAAAACAAAAAGACAUGAACAGAAAAAACAGUUCAUCAAAAGAAUCAUCAAAGGAAAAAUCUAGAGAUUUGACAAGAUCAUCAUACAAAGAUUCAAGAAAAGACAAGCAUAAGCAUGGAAAGGAUUCUUUGACAUCUGAAGCAUUUGGUGAAAGUAUGAAAGCUCACAAAGAAUUGAAGCAAGCUCCUUAUAAAGACUUCCAAAGGGAUCAUAUUAAAGAUGUUGAGCAGGAACAGAGUAGAAAUAGAAAAGAUUCUGUUGAUGUUUAUCGAAAGGAUAGUAUGAAGGAACCAAGAUUUGAAUCCAUGGAAAGAGGAUGUUCAAGGGCACCUGAAAGAGAAAAGGAGAGAGAGCAUAACUUAACAAAGGUACCUUCAUCAAAGAAAUUAGAUCAUGCUUCAACUAGUGAAGUCCAUGUUUCAAAUGCUGCCAUUUCCCAUUCUUUACUGGGAGGCAUGAUGGGCACUGAUCCAGGAUUGCUACCUGUGGCUGCUGUUCUUAUAAAUGAAAAUUGGGUACAGUGUGAUGCCUGUGAAAAAUGGCGAUUGCUUCCUCCUGGGGUGGAUCCUACAUUUCUUCCUCAAAAAUGGCUUUGCCGUAUGCUUGAUUGGCUGCCUUCGAUGAAUCGGUGUGAGUUCACUGAAGAUGAGACUACACAAGCAGUCCGUGCUUUGAAUGGACAACAACCGGUUCAGUGCCAGUUAGAUGCAAGCAGAGGGCAAUUUCAACCUCCAGGAGCUCCAGCUUCUGCACCUGUCCUUGAUAUUAAACAAGCUGAGCCAAGUCAUGAUAUGAAAGCUCUGAAGUCCAGUAAUAUUUCUAGCAAUUGUAAGAAAGGACAAGUACAGAGGACAAUUGUCAGUGCCCCAGGCUCAACAAACCCUCCAAAUUCUAUUUCAAAAAAGACUAAGCAGAGCUCAAUAAAGAGUAAGAGCUUGAAUGAUGUAGUUCAACCAUCUCUUGAACAAGUUCAGGGCAGCACGGGUCUAUCACACCAAGCAAUUAAAGGGAAUGAUUCUUUAAUAGAAGCACAGAAAUUCAAACAAAAGGAAAAAUUAAAAAUGAGACAAAAUAUAUCUGAUGAAGUUGGAUAUGAUACUGGAGAAGGAAGUACACCCAGAUUAAAAGCUAAGCGUAAGAGUGAAGGUGAACUUGAUGUGCAUAAGCAUCUCAAAAAAAGCAAGGCAAAAGAGACUGCAGGCAUCAAUGAAGAUUCAUUUGAAAAAAAUGGUCUUAAAAAUAUCAUCGGUACUCCAGUCAAAAUAUCAGGCGUGAAAUCAAAGAAAUACAAUGAUAGCUCUUCUCCAAAACAAAUGAGAGAAGGUGUAUCAGCUAUGGAUAAAACUUUCAGGGACCAAGUUCAGACAUCAUUAGAAACUGAUAGCAGAGGAACUUACAGUGGCUUUGAAUCAGGAAAAGUUGAUAGAAGGGAUAUGAUAGCUAAGAAGAGGAAAAUGAAAGAAUGGAAAGAUAGCCAACAAGAAGGCCUUCCAGAUCAAGAAUAUGUAAAAGAUUGUAGAGGUAUUGCAAAAGAAGCGGGAAGUGAAACUGAAUAUAGAAGGGACAAGAAAGUAAAGGCUUUAAAAUCGGAGGGAAAGGAGUCCAGUGCAAGCAAAGCAGAUAAGAAAGGAAAAGUGACUAGAAUCCUGGUAGCUUCUUCCAAAGAUCAAUUGGCUAAUGGACUGGAUGAGCAGAGUAGAGGUAGCUACGAGAAAGAUCAUGAAUGGAGUCAACCUAGAGUACAAGGUGUUGCCCGAAGGGUGUCAAAUGGUAUGGAUAUGUUGAAAAGGGAGACUGGAUACGCACAACCUUUUGUUGCUGCAACAUCAAGUUCCUCAAAGAUUUCAUGUUCUCUCAAAAACUUGGCCAACAUUCAGGAAGUAAGAGGAUCUCCUGUGGAAUCGGUUUCCUCAUCACCAAUGAGGAUAUCGAAAGUGGAAAAACCGUCUCUAAUUGGAAGAAAUGGUUUAGGAGUGGAAGAUUCAAUUGAUGGUGAUUUUCCUUGUUUUGCCAGUCCAAGAAGAUUUUCUGAUUGUGAAGGUGACACACAAAGUGACCGCUCAGCACCGGUUAAGAAGAUAAAGGGUUCCUGUUCUGAACUACCUGGCUCACAUGAGAGUUGCAAGGCAUUUGAAUCUUCUCUUUUGAAUUCAGGAAAGGUUGAUGACAGUCAUGACAGAGAUGAAAAACUUUUUUCUGAUGUCAAUAUCAAAGACAAGAAGUCUUACCAGAUGUAUAGAACUGGCAAUGCUACUGAUCAUUUAGUUAAUAAUUGCAGUGCCGUUGAGCGACUGAGUGAAAGAAAAGAUAAGGAUCGGUCUCAAGAAAAAAAUAGAGAUCGCUAUAACUCUGAUGGUUGUCAGGACAGAAAACUACCAAGGGAAAAAAUAGUUAGGGAUCAUGACAGAGAAAGGGAGAAAAAUCCUGUACACAUAAAAGGAAAAGAUAGGAUACAUGAUUCCAUCAGUGAUAGUCAUGAGGAAUUAUACAUUCACGGGAAGGAUAGGAGAUCACAUGAAGGAGCUCCGGAGACUCAUGCGCACUCACCUUAUCUUGAGCCCUCUAGGGGUGGCAAGGAGUUUGUUGAUGAUAAGCGGAGCAAUAAAUCUGAUAAGGACAGAAGAAAUGAUAUAGAAUGGAGUAGUAAAACUGAUUCAAGGACAAAAAAAUUGGGUGAAAUGAGAAGAGGUAAUCAACUGAAACAUGGCUUAGAUGAUAAUACAGAAGCUAUGCCAUCUGAUUUACAUGCUAAGCAGAACAGAGAUUUUACCUCUAAGCACCAAAAUUUGGGGGUGGUGCCCAGGAAAGAUGGAAAGGCAAAUAUGCAGAAGAGCUUACAGCAUGACCUUUCUCGUGGUGGUGAGAGACUAUCUAAUCAUGGGCUGUCAGAUAGAAAUGUUCAGUCUGAAACUACUACCAGGGACAAAUUGCAAGCCGUUCCAUUUCUUGGAGAUAAGCCAAAUUUACAAGGACAUGGUUCUGCAACCGUGUGCAUGAGCAACAGAGGUACCCGGGCAGAAGGAGUAGCAACAGAUGUUUCUUAUGGUGAAUUUUCUAAAGUACCUAGAGAAUCCAGCAAAGCUGAUAAUUUGAGUGGAUCACUAAACUGUCGCUUGAAGCCCCCUACAUCAAAUGGUGUUUCAGGAAGAGAUCCCGAGGGGGCCCUUUCUAGUCCUGUUCGGAGAGAAUCUGGGCAAACAGUGAGUUCUUGCAUGAAAGAAGCAAAGGAUCUGAAACACAUGGCAGACAAUCUGAAGAGUAAAGGCAUGGACCGUGAUAGCACUUCCUUGUACUUCAAUGCAGCCUUGAAAUUUCUCAAAGCUGCUUCAUUGAUGGAGCUUUGCAAUGUCGAGAAUGCAAGGCACGGAGAAAUAACCCAGUCGAUGUCUGUAUACACAGAUACUGCAAAGCUUUGCGAAUUUUGUGCUCACACAUAUGAGAGAAAUAAGGAAAUGGCAGCUGCUGCCCUGGCAUAUAAAUGCAUGGGAGUGGCACACAUGAGGGUUGUUCACUCAAAAAAUUUAUUUAUAAGUAGAGAUCAGCAUGACCUGCAAAUGGCUUUUCAGAGUGCUCCAUCUGGGGAUUCCCCAUCAUCAUCAGCCUCAGAUGUCGACAACUUAAAUAACCAUGCAUUAAUGGAUAGAAGUGCUGCAAAUCCUGGAAAGGUAGCUGGGUCACCUCAAGUACCUGCUGAUCAUGUGAUUGCUGCUCGACAUCGUGCUGUUUAUGCUCGUGUGUUGCAAUAUACACGUGAUACCAUUGCUGCCGUUGAAGCAUUUAAAAAAUCAGAAAAUGCAUUUUCAGUUGCCAAUGGCAGUUUGGAUGAUGCCAGCCAUGAAUCAGCAGGAAUAUCUGCAGUGAAAAGAGUUAUGGAUUUCCACUUUAAUGACAUUGACACGCUGCUCCAUCUUGUUAAGCGUGCCAUGGAUGAAAUGUCUCAUUAAUUUGGUGUUUGUAACAUCGUCCCUUGUGAAUAAAGCUGUGUUGAUCUCAGUUACUUAUUCAGGCAUCCCCAGGGUGUUCGCAUUGAAGGAUAGCCAGAUCAGAAGUGGUGAAAUCAGAUUUUUUGGAGAGCUUAUGUUCCAUGUUGAAGUUUUAAAACUAAUGCUUCCAUGACAAUGCUGUAUCCCAGCAUUCAAGCUUGGUGGUAGAAGGGAAUGUAUAUGACAGAAAGAAUUCAUCAAGUUCUCAGGUGAUAUUUAUACUCUUUAUAGUGCAACCUGGGUAGGUUUGAUGGUGGAUGCAUGUGUGCUCCUUAAAGGAGGUCACAAGGUUGAAUCUGGAGGGAGGUUGGGUUGUACAUCCCAUAAAACAGUAUGUAAGAAAUUAUACAAGAUCGAAGUGUGACAAAUAUGACGUUUCUCUUGAGACAUAAGUCGAUUUAGUUUAUCAGAAGGUUCUAAAAUCAAAGGUGAUUCUGACUAUAAGUUCUGCAGAAUCUGCUUAUGUUUAUUAACGUAUAUGCAACUGUAGAGAUUUGAAAGACAAGGAUUGAUGUUCACAUAAAAACAUGUUGUGUUACGUUUCUUUGAUUGCGCCUAAAAUCAAAGGGUGCUGCUGGCUAGGGAUGGUGUGCUCUGGCCUCAGAUUCUGAUUAUGUUAAUUAACUUAUUACAACUGAACAGAUUUCUCAUGCUUCUUAUGAGAAAGUUCCCAUUGAGCAUAUAUAAGUGAUUAUGAAAUUUCAAAAUGUACUGUUCUUAGUGGCAAACAUGGUAUGCAUCAUCAGGGCCUCGAUUAAUCCAAAAUUUGGAGAAUGCUCUUAUUUCAAGUUAUUUCAAAUGUGCCAUUCGGUAAUAGCAAUGGGAUCAAAAUUGUUUACAACUGUUGAA